AUGGAGGCUUUGAGAGAGAUCCUGACCAAGUAUGAAAAGGCUUUAGGGCAGAAAGUAAACUUGCAAAAGUCCUCGGUUUUCUUUGGAAAAGGAAGUCAGGAGGAGUCCAAGGAGCAAAUCAAGCAAAUUAUGGGUAUUCGGUCUGAAGCUCUAAGUGAGCGUUAUUUGGGGCUGACAACACAGGUUGGGAGAUCCAAAGAUGGGACGUUUAAGCAUGUUACAGAGAGUUCCAAGGGAAAAGUUAGUUGA
rnacentral:rRNA from 1 species